rnacentral:rRNA from 1 species
CUGCAGUCGAGCGGUAACGGGAAAGCUUGUUCUUGCCGAGCGGGGACGGGGAGAACGCGAGAAUCUGCCUAAAGGGGGACAACAUGUGGAACGCAUGUAUACCCUACCCCUUUUGGGAAAGGAGGGGAUCUUCACCUUCCCUAUUAAUGAGCUGCGGAGAUUACUAUGGGGGGAAAGGCUCGGGACAUCUCUACUGCUGAGAGGAGACCCACACUGGACUGAGACACGGCCACUCCUCGGAGGCAUGGGGAAUAUUGACAAUGGGGCAGCCUGAUCCCUGCCCGUGUGUGAAAAGCCUUAGGUGUAAAGACUUUCUGGGGAGGAAGGGCGUUGUUAAUACCCGACUUUGACGUUACCCCAAAAACACCCUACUCUGUGCCCACCCGGAAUAASAGGGGCGCGUUAAUCAAUUACUGGCGUAAAGCGCGCGAGUGGUUGUAAUCUGAUUGAAAUCCCGGUCCCUUGAAUGACCAUACUGAGGCUAAGACGUAAGRGGUGUGGAAUUUCCUGUGUACGUGAAUGCGUAAUAUAGAAGGAACAUCUGGGAAGCGACACCCUGACUGAACUGACACUGAGGUGCGAAAGCGUGGGAGCAACAGAUUAAUACCCUGUAGCCACGCCGAACGAUUCUACUACGYUGKGUUGUAAUGACUUAGGGGCAGCUACCACUAUAACCGCCUGGGGAGUACGCCGCGGUAAAACUCAUGAUUGCGGGGCCCGCACAGCGUGGAGCAUGUGGUUUAAUAGCAACCGCAGAACUACUACUCUUGAUCAGAACUUACAGAUGCUUUGGUGCUUCGGAACCUGAGACAGGCUGCAUGUCGUCAGCUCGGUGUGAAUGUAGUCCGUACGAGCGCCCUAUCCUGGCAGCACUGUGGAACUGCUAACCAUGGCUAGCUCCACACGU